AGCCCCGUAUCAAGAAAAGGUGGACUCUUGAAGCCUUAGGUUCUUUAGAACCUAGAAGAAGUGCUCUGGAAGAUGAUUUUGAGGAAGAGGAAGAAAAGGAUGAAGACGACCAACUAGCUGCAGGGUCAGAUGAUGGGGAUCAUGAGAAGGAUUACUACCGCGGCGUAGUCCAACAAGGGAAAGAGAUCGGGAUAGAAGACGAGACAGUCAUAGAUACAGGUUGUUCUUGUUGCUCUUUACUUCUGUUCCCUUUUCAUCAUGGCUUGGGGAGAAAUUUUGGUUAUUAGUACUCCUCAGUUUUUGGCUCUGUUGGAACAUGGCAGAAUUUAUUCUUACCUGCAUCUUAAAGUCA